ensembl:snRNA U2 U2 spliceosomal RNA
AUCACUUUGUGGCCUUUUGGCUAAGAUCAAGCAGAGUAUCUGUUCUUAUCAGUUUAAUAUCUCACUACGUGAACUGAUGCAAAACAAAGUGAGCAGAACCAGGAGAACAAUGUAU